rnacentral:ribozyme from 1 species
AAUGAAGGGAGAAGGAAACCAAAAAAAAAAAAAAAAAAAAAAAAAAUCAACCGCGUGCUUCUUUUGUUUAUUUCCAAUUUUUUUCUUUUUUUUUUUUUUUAAUUUUAU